rnacentral:rRNA from 1 species
GAUGAACGCUAGCGGCAGGCUUAACACAUGCAAGUCGAGGGGUAUAGUUCUUCGGAGCUAGAGACCGGCGCACGGGUGCGUAACGCGUAUGCAAUCUACCUUUUGCAGAGGGAUAGCCCAGAGAAAUUUGGAUUAAUACCUCAUGGUAUGUGAGAAUGGCAUCAUUUUCACAUUAAAGUCACAACGGCAAAAGAUGAGCAUGCGUCCCAUUAGCUAGUUGGUAAGGUAACGGCUUACCAAGGCAACGAUGGGUAGGGGUCCUGAGAGGGAGAUCCCCCACACUGGUACUGAGACACGGACCAGACUCCUACGGGAGGCAGCAGUGAGGAAUAUUGGACAAUGGGCGCAAGCCUGAUCCAGCCAUGCCGCGUGCAGGAUGACGGUCCUAUGGAUUGUAAACUGCUUUUGUACAGGAAGAAACACUGGUUCGUGAACCAGCUUGACGGUACUGUAAGAAUAAGGAUCGGCUAACUCCGUGCCAGCCGCCGCAGUAA